rnacentral:tRNA from 1 species
GAGGUUGUGGCUCAGUGCUAGAGUACUCGCCUAGCAUAUGCGAGGCUCUGGGUUUGAGCCUCAGCACCACA